rnacentral:snRNA from 1 species
AUCGCUUCUUCGGCCAUUUUCGGCUAAGAUAAGUGUAGUAUCUGUUCUAUCAGUUUUAAUCAUCUUGAGUACGUCCCUAGCGGAACCAUAUAUAAAUUGAUUUUUGGAGCAGGAGAUGGAAUUCAGGGCUUGCUCCGUUCCAGUCUCCACGCAUCGACUGGGUAUUGCAGUACUUUCUGGAACGGUGCAUGCCCA